rnacentral:rRNA from 1 species
AACGAACGCUGGCGGCAGGCUUAGCACAUGCAAGUCGAGCGCCCCGCAAGGGGAGCGGCAGGCGGGUGAGUAACGCGUGGGAAUCUACCCAUCUCUACGGAAUAACGCAUGGAAACGUGUGCUAAUACCGUAUACGUCCUUCGGGAGAAAGAUUUAUCGGAGAUGGAUGAGCCCGCGUUGGAUUGGCUAGUUGGUGGGGUAAAGGCCUACCAAGGCGACGAUCCAUAGCUGGUCUGAGAGGAUGAUCAGCCACACUGGGACUGAGACACGGCCCAGACUCCUACGGGAGGCAGCAGUGGGGAAUAUUGGACAAUGGGCGCAAGCCUGAUCCAGCCAUGCCGCGUGAGUGAUGAAGGCCCUAGGGUUGUAAAGCUCUUUCACCGGUGAAGAUAAUGACGGUAACCGGAGAAGAAGCCCCGGCUAACUUCGUGCCAGCCGCCGCCGUAAUAC